rnacentral:misc_RNA from 1 species
GAUUGAAUACAGAGCUUUUCCCCGUCCAAAAGCACCGAUAGUGGGAGAGUUAGAGCGGGAAAAGGGAGAAUGAAGACGGGUUCGAAGUCGGAAGGACCUUCGACUCCAGCACUUCGACGGGACCCGUACGAGGUUUUAAGCGUAUCUAGGGAUUCCACUGAUCAGGAAAUCAAGUCUGCUUAUAGGAAGCUUGCUCUUAAAUAUCACCCAGACAAGAAUGGCAGUAACCCUGAAGCUUCAGAACUUUUUAAGGAGGUCGCAUAUUCUUAUAGCAUCCUAUCUGAUCCAGAGAAGAGAAGGCAA